rnacentral:tRNA from 1 species
GCGCCUGUAGCUCAGUGGUUAGAGCAUGCGACUUAUAAUCGCAGGGUCGAUGGUUCAAAUCCAUCCAGGCGCA